rnacentral:rRNA from 1 species
AUACGUAGGUGGCAAGCGUUGCCCGGAUUUACUGGGUGUAAAGGGCGUGUAGGCGGAGAUGCAAGUCAGGAGUGAAAUCUAGGGGCUCAACCCCUAAACUGCUUUUGAAACUGUAUCCCUUGAGUAUCGGAGAGGCAGGCGGAAUUUCCAGUGUAGCGGUGAGAUGCGUAGAUAUUAGGAGGAACACCAGUGGCGAAGGCGGCCUGCUGGACGACAACUGACGCUGAGGCGCGAAAGCGUGGGGAGCAAACAGGAUUAGAUACCCUGGUAGUCCACGCUGUAAACGAUGAAUACUAGGUGUGGGGGGACUGACCCCCUCCGUGCCGCAGUUAACACAAUAAGUAUUCCACCUGGGGAGUACGAUCGCAAGAUUGAAACUCAAAUGAAUUGGCGGGG